AACGAACGCUGGCGGCAUGCCUAACACAUGCAAGUCGAACGAGACCUUCGGGUCUAGUGGCGCACGGGUGCGUAACGCGUGGGAACCUGCCCUUAGGUUCGGAAUAACUCCCCGAAAGGGGUGCUAAUACCGGAUAAUGUCUUCGGACCAAAGAUUUAUCGCCUUUGGAUGGGCCCGCGUUGGAUUAGCUAGUUGGUAGGGUAAAAGCCUACCAAGGCGACGAUCCAUAGCUGGUCUGAGAGGAUGAUCAGCCACACUGGGACUGAGACACGGCCCAGACUCCCACCGGGGGGAGGAGGGGGGAAAAAUGGAACAAGGGCCGAAGGCCGAACCAGGAAUGCCGGGUGAGGGGUUGAGGGCUUAGGGUUGUAAAGGCCCUUUUACCGGGAUGGAAAUUGCCGUUCCGGGAGAAUAAGCUCCGGCUAACUCCGU
rnacentral:rRNA from 1 species